rnacentral:lncRNA from 1 species
CCCUGGCGGAGGCUUCCCGAGAGGACGACUGUGUUUUGGCCCUCUCGGCCAGUCAAGGCAGUCAGGGGACCCCAGCGGAGGAGGGGAAGACCCCUGGCCAUGCUGCUUCGCGUGCGUUGGAGGAGAAGCUUCGCUUGCCUGAGGACUGCAGUGAACAGGAGGCUGAGGAGGAGGCUUCCCUUGGUGACCCUUGCAGUGACCUUGGCCAUGAAGGCAGCGGGCCAAGCAGGGCAUCUUUGCUCCCGGAGACUCCCUGUGAAAAGCCAGAAGAAGUCACGUUGCUGGAUGAAGGACUCUCCCUUCGUCUGACGAUUUCCCAAGCCGUAGAGCAAGCAGAAUGCUCUGCAGUUAGGGAAGCCUUUCCCCCAAACGAUCCACAGGUAACUGGCGAGUCAGGAAAGGUAGAGCAAGGUCCUCUGGAUCAUCCCAGCAAGGCUGGGCUGGAAGCGCAGAGCCUGAGUCGGAGGGUCCAUCCUGGAAUGAUGCUGCAACAGACCGAUUCUGAGCCCCGACCGGAGCAGGGGAGCAGGCAGUCCCAGAGAAGAGCUGGUAGUUUUCCUGGAGAGAUUCUGCAUGCCCAGGUCCCGCCAGAGCCGCCCUUUUGUCUCCUACUGGCGAAAGAGAGAGACGCCCUCACCCCGCCCCUGGUGGGCCAGCACAAGAAAGGCCCCAGGCACAGCACCCCCAUCGUGGUGGGAAGCGAUCCAGAGCACCCUGCGAUUGGCCCAGAGGGCAGAGACGGCGUCUUGGAGGGGGCUGGCUCGGCUGGCAUUGCAGCCAUGGAGGAGAGCCCCCAAGGGAGUUCUGUGGUGGCCUGUGAAGAGGAAGAGGACGGGGGGCUCUCCCUGCGUAGGAGCCUGGUGACCCCCGUGAUGGAAGAGAGUGACGAGCCUCUGCCUUUCAGCCUGGAGAGUAAGAGA